ensembl:lncRNA
CUCUCUGCUUAGUUUGGGAAUUCUGUUGGCAUGUUACCUGGUUUGAGUACGCAAUCUAGCAAUGAGGAAAAGAGUCUAUUACAUUGUGUGGGCUAAAUUUCCCAUUUAAAAUUUAAUUGAACUGGUGUAAAAAGGAGAUGCAGGGAAAUUAGGGGAAGAAUAAGGAAAAAAGUAGGUUACAGAGUUUGUAUAUAAUUUAGGAGUUCUCAAAUUGAUCGGACUGGGUAAAUUGCAUUUUAGGAUAUUCGAAGCACUGUUGGAAGAAAUCACACAGUUACUGUCUUUGAAAAGAGAUGAAGAAUGAUGACAUGUUUGAAGAUGAGAUGAUUGGCCAGGAAAAUUCUCUGCUUCUGCUGAUGAUUGAACAGAAAUACAAUGCUUCCUGAAAGGGUUGUUUUGAAAGUUGAAUGAAAUUUGAUGAAAUGUUGGGAAAGGAUCUACCUGUUUAGACAUGAGUGCACCUUUCUAACCUCAGAAGACCUGCUGUUGAAUCAAAAUGGAUGGUAUUCAUAUAUUCAUUCAUGUACUGCAAAAUUUGCCUGCAUAAAAUUGCAAUGGGACAGAACAGCCAGAUGAUUAUUCUUCAGACUCUCUUACUACAAACAUCC